GAUGAACGCUAGCUACAGGCUUAACACAUGCAAGUCGCAGGGCAGCAUGGGGGUUGCUUGCAAUCCCCGAUGGCGACCGGCGCACGGGUGAGUAACGCGUAUCCAACCUGCCCUUCACCACGGGAUAACCCGGCGAAAGUCGGACUAAUACCGUAUGUUGUCCAUUGACGGCAUCCGAUUUGGACGAAAGGCUUGGCGGUGAGGGAUGGGGAUGCGUCCGAUUAGCCAGACGGCGGGGUAACGGCCCACCGUGGCUACGAUCGGUAGGGGUUCUGAGAGGAAGGUCCCCCACACUGGAACUGAGACACGGUCCAGACUCCUACGGGAGGCAGCAGUGAGGAAUAUUGGUCAAUGGGCGUAAGCCUGAACCAGCCAAGUAGCGUGCAGGAUGACGGCCCUAUGGGUUGUAAACUGCUUUUAUGCGGGGAUAAAGUGGCCCACGUGUGGGCUUUUGCAGGUACCGCAUGAAUAAGGACCGGCUAAUUCCGUG
rnacentral:rRNA from 1 species